CGGACGAGUCCUUACCUGGAGCAUUGUGAUGGGUUUUGUUGUGUCUCGCUCCUGCCCCACCUACUUCGUAAGUGGGUAAUUGGCAGCUGUGCUCCAUAAAAAGGAAGCGCGGCUAUCCAGGGCAGACGUCUGCUUUGUCCAGGGACGACUCUGACCGACCUAUCGCCUAUCCCCGACGUUUGGCUGUAGUUUGUUCCACCAUUUGCUCCAGUAACAGAAGUCGCUGCUAAACUACUGGCUGGAUAUUCUCACGGCUGCUCUUAACCCCCGGUGUGCUCAUCAAUUCCAGCUUAGCAACAUCACAGAGUGUUGCGCUGUCCGGGCUCCCUACAUCUGACGUUAGCUGUUGCAUGGAUCUGUAUGGUAUCCUGAUGUGGUGACGGCCUUGCUGUUUUGUUCCUGUUUGGGGUUUGCUGUGUGGAGCGCCUUCCGCUUCUCUCUGUGGCCUUCCAUCGCUGCGUCUCUGAUGCAUGAUUGCUAGCUAACCUGGUGGUGGCUAUCUGCUUGGGCCUGUUUAGUGCGGACGUGUGUGUUUGUUGCAUGAGUGUGCAUGUGUGGGAGUUUGGUUUGCUUGCUGCUCUAUUGAUGCUCUGUGCUUUUCUCUGUAUUUUGUUUUGUCUUAUUUGUACUCAUUUGUUUUUGUUUGUUUUUUCUACUGCAUGUACUGUCAAGUGGGCUUUCCCUGUGUAUGUUGCUUGUCUCUCCUGCUGGGGGCUACAUUGGGCGCAUGUUGGAGGGUGUAUUCUCCUCUGGUGUCCAUCCCUUAUUGUGUGUGCUGUGUUAAUUAGUUUAGAUAAGUCACCUUUUCAU